rnacentral:rRNA from 1 species
UACAUGUGGGGCAAGCGUUGUUCGGAAUUACUGGGCAUAAAGGGUGCGUAGGCGGCUUGUUAAGUCAGGGGUGAAAGCUUUCGGCUCAACCGGAAAAUUGCCUUUGAUACUGGCGAGCUCGAGUGCGUGAGGGGUAACCGGAACGAGUGGUGUAGCGGUGAAAUGCGUAGAUAUCACUCGGAAGGCCAAAGGCGAAGGCAGGUUACUGGUACGCAACUGACGCUGAGGCACGAAAGCGUGGGGAGCAAACAGG